rnacentral:rRNA from 1 species
UACGUAGGGGGGCAAGCGUUGUCCGGAAUCAUUGGGCGUAAAGCGCGCGUAGGCGGCCCGGUAAGUCCGUUGUGAAAGUCAAAGGCUCAACCUUUGAACGCCGAUGGAUACUGCCGGGCUAGAGUCCGGAAGAGGCGAGUGGAAUUCCUGGUGUAGCGGUGAAAUGCGCAGAUAUCAGGAGGAACACCGGUGGCGAAGGCGGGUCUCUGGGCCGAUACUGACGCUGAGGAGCGAAAGCGUGGGGAGCGAACAGG